CCUACGGGAGGCAGCAGUCGAGAAUCAUUCACAAUGGGGGAAACCCUGAUGGUGCGACGCCGCGUGGGGGAAUGAAGGUCUUCGGAUUGUAAACCCCUGUCAUGUGGGAGCAAAUUAAAAAGAUAGUACCACAAGAGGAAGAGACGGCUAACUCUGUGCCAGCAGCCGCGGUAAUACAGAGGUCUCAAGCGUUGUUCGGAAUCACUGGGCGUAAGGCGUGCGUAGGAUUGUUCGUAAGUCGGGUGUGAAAGGCGCGGGCUCAACCCGCGGACGGCACAUGAUACUGCGAGACUAGAGUAAUGGAGGGGGAACCGGAAUUCUCGGUGUAGCAGUGAAAUGCGUAGAUAUCGAGAGGAACACUCGUGGCGAAGGCGGGUUCCUGGACAUUAACUGACGCUGAGGCACGAAGGCCAGGGGAGCGAAAGGGAUUAGAUACCCCAGUAGUC
rnacentral:rRNA from 1 species